AACCCAUAGUGAGGGCUCCUUCUCAAUAAAUCCUUAUACAUCUCCCACGCAUCAUAUAACGUUUCUAAAUCAAUCUGCACAAAGGAAGAGAUGUCGUUACUCAACUU
rfam:Gossypium raimondii Chr10_contig_987, whole genome shotgun sequence.